AUGUUCUGCCACUGGCACCCAAGUACCUACCUUCUGCUUACAGAGGGAUGCCGGGGAAAUAAAUUUAUGGAUCACUUAACCUUUUGCCCAAGGAACAAAUCCAACUUAUAUGAAGUAACAAACUGCCUACUACUUGGAAUCAGAGUCCCCCAAGGCCGAAAAAAUGACAGUCACCUAUGUCCCAUCGCAGAGGCACAGACACUGAAGCUCCUUCCUCACCUGGAGACUCUUGAUCUGGCCUCACUCAUAAAAUCUGGCUGUACUCAACAUCAGAAGAACUUCAGCUUAUCAUUGAAGAAGUCACAUGCUGAGUGAGCCGAAAAUUCUAUUAAUUAGUUACACACUA
rnacentral:lncRNA from 1 species